rnacentral:lncRNA from 1 species
GUGGAGCUGCAUACAAAUAUUGACAGAACACAGUGGUAUUUGUUAAGCUGGAUCUUGGGAAGUGAAUGAUUAAAACUCUGAAGGAAGAUCUGAAAACUUCAGAGCUUCCCUCCUCCCUCUCCUCAAGAAUCUUUAACAGUGUUUAACAGAGUGAAAGUGAAAAUGCUGAGCUUGGUUAAAUGAAAGCCCUGACCUUCUUUUCCUCUGCCUUUGCCUUGCUGUAGGUAAGGACAAACUUCUUGAAAUGUUUUCGUUCCUGCAUGUUUUUUUAAUCCCAUUAUGAAUUAGUGGUUGUUUAAUGUGUGGUAGUAUUGAAAGGGGCUGGGAAUGCUUUUGAUUUAAUUCUGUGAUUUGGGCAAAAGUUAUGAGACAAUCUUUGUAAAUAGACAGACUGUGUUAGCCAGUAGCUAUGCACCAUCAAAUGUUAAUACUACUUUUCUCACAGUUCCAUUACAGUAAGUGAUAGGUGCAUGAAUCUCCUCAGACAUUUUAAAGACAUACUUAGAUCCAAAUAUCUGGGACACAUGAAAUUCACCUCAGAAUUCCACCUAGUGGUGUUCAACUGAGAGUUCAAAGUUUGCUGCCUGGGUUGUACCUGCAAAACAUUAUUGUCUCCAUCACAUAGUUAAUCACUGUCAUACUGCUUUCUAGUGCCAAUGAAAGGGUACUGAAAAACCUGUUUGACUUAAGGUUUUAUUUUAACUUGAGAGACUCUUGAAACAUUGGAAUAUUUCCCCCCACUGUGUAUGCUACUUUGAAGAAAUCACCGGAUGACUGAAAAAGUGUAUACUAAACAUUGUCCUGAAAUGGGCUUUUUGUAAGAACACAAUUUAUUUAUUUAUAUCUAGAGAGAAUGAAAUAGACCUAUGAUGCAGUCAAAAUUUUGAUAUCCAUGAGGAUUACCGGCUGCUUGUUGCUUCCAAUUGCUGCAUACUAGCACUCAAAACUGCAGAAGCCUGAUGAUUGCUUUCCAUCUCAGUUGCUUAUCACCAGUCUUUGGGGCUUCAUCUUUUUUCAAUGUAAGCAAAGCAUCUUUCAUGCCAUGGGAUCAUGUUGCAAUAGGAGGGUUUUGGUUAAAUAUGCCUUAUUAAUCUUUAAUGUAUAAGUAGCACUGAGCAUUUGCCAAAUGGAAACAUUUAAGCAACACCUCAUGUAUCCAUUGCCAAAAUAAAUGCUGGCAGGCUACAAAAUAAUAUUUUUAAAAGAAUUUUGCAACAAACUUCAACAUGUGGGUUCAAAUAUUUCACGAUCCUUUGAUGCAUCUUGGAAAACGUGCAAAUGCAAGUUUGCCUAUUAAAAUCCUACAGUUGGGGGCUGGAAGUUUGCAAGCGUUCCUCUGAUUGAAUAGCACUUAUUCAUGAAGCAGGUCUAGUUGAGCUCAAUGAAACAGCUUGUUUGAAUCAGCACUACGCGUCAUUAGAGUUAAGUAGAAUUAGGCUCAUAAGGAAUGUUUAUGGGCAUAUGAUGUAUAUGUCUGAUUAAUAUUGAAAGCUACCUUCACAGAGCAACAUGUUAAUAAACAUAAUCACAUUUUGUGGAAUGUCUUUUAAGAAAAGCAGAGAUACACAGGGUGAGAUGGGAUUAGAAGCUGAAGUUUUUGGAUUGCCUCUCUUUACUUAAAACAUUGGCCUUAUCCGCAGUAUUACCCUGCCAUGGUAUUUUAUUUGUAUCACAACUGCCAAGAAGCUCAGGGGGCUUUACAUAGUUUCUCCCAUUUUAUCUACACAGUGAUCUUGUGAUUUAGUUAUGGUGGUAUUGACUGGCCUUAGUGAAACUCAGAAGUUGAAAAGGGUCUCUGUGGUCCAAGCAGAUUGGUGUGGAUUGCCUUUUUUCCAGCUGUGGCUGGUUUGCCCACAAUGAAUGUUUAUAGCCAGGGGUAAUCUAGCCACACUGGGCUAUUAUCUGGAAACCUCCUGUGUAGACUACUGUAUGUGGGGCUGCCCUUGAAGAGGACUCAUAAGCUUCAAUUAGCACAGAAGGCAGCUGCCAGAAUUUUAACCAGCAAGAUUGGCUCACUAAAUGAAUUACUGUACAUUGGCUGCCUAGUUGCUUCUGAGCUAAUGUAAAGGCACAGAUGCUAACCUUGAAAGUGCUAAAACUCUUGGUACUCAAAUAGCUGAAUAUACUCCUCUUUGGGCAAAAACAAGCCUGGCUAUGCUUUAAGAUUUGCAGAGAAGGGUCUUCUUUGUGCCCCACUGGUAAGGAAAGUUCAUUUUGUGGUGAUGUGGAUGAAGCCUUUUCCUCAAUUGUGCCUAUUUAUGUCAUGCCCUCCUACUAGAAACACAACAGGUACUUCUUCAUAUGUAGUAGGAACAUUAGAAUAUAUAAGUAGGGCUAUGUUGCAUAAUGCCCAAGAGUAACAUUCCUUCUGAGCACCACAAAGAUUCAAGGGUAGUGCUGAUAUCUCCUUGACAAUUCUUUACAAACUCAAAGGCCACUUUAUGAUGUGUGGACCAACUGAGGGGUCAUCACCUCAUUAAAUGAAAACCUGUUACCUUACCAACAUGGCCACGCAAUAAGGCCACAUCAAAGCACAAAUAAAAAGAGCUACUGUUCCAGAGGGAUUUGUGAGGUAUGCUAGAGAAAACCAUAAGGAAGCUGAAUGCCUCAAACACACUCAUUUGUUCCAAUACAUUUGCUGGCCAUACUCUUUAUUGGGAGGCUGCUGAAAGAUGUACACAAAACUAAAUGCUUUUCUCCUGGGUUAGCAGUCCAAAUCUGUCAUUGAUGGUUAGGGAAGAAAUUUAGCAGACAGAUGCAGUAAAUAUUUUUUUCUGAAAGCAGAAGCAGUUUGUUGCAGGGGUUAAAAAACCCAACCAAAGGGUAUGGUAUUUGUAGGACAUCGGGUGAGUUAAUAUGUAGCAACAUUUGCAUUUCCUAUUGCAUUCUAGACUGAUCACAUGCACACACAUUCGCACAGAUACACAUAGCAAUUGUGAGGCAUUAGGACAAUGGUGGCCAAUUUGCUUCUCCUUCUUUCUCUUUGUUUGAUAUGUGUGCCACAAAUCAAUCCAAACUGUGGCAUAGUGCCAUCCUGUUGUGCUCUGCAGUGCAUUAGCAAGGUUUUCUGGUACAUUUAGAUAUGGGUUGAAUAAAAUGGCAUGUUUUUCUUGUCUGCUGGGCUUGGAACAGCUAGCACAGGAGAGUCAGCCGGCCGAACUAUGCUAUAACCAGGUCUGUAGGUCGUUGAGGGAGGGGGACACACAACUUUCGGUACCUGUGAAACCCAUGCCUCCAGACAGGGCUCCUGUGCAUUAGGAACAGCGAUUAUAAAAUCAAAAGCAAUGCUGAUUGUUGAACGCAUUCUGCUUCUCCUAGAUUCGGUAGUGCAAAGCACAAGAAGUUUUUGGUCAACAAACAUACACAUGCAAAUUAAAUAGUAUCUGUAAUUCUUCCUGAGGAAAUAAUGUGAUCUGUCUUGGUAUAUAACUUGAACUUUGUAGUGUAACAGACAAGGGAACCUGUGACCUAUCUAUGGUUGCACUACAAUGUCCAUCAGGCCUGACCACUGGCUAUGCUGGAAUCCAGCAAUGUCUAGAGAGUCACAGGUCCCCCAUCCCUGUAGUACAGGGCAGACCUAAACAUGCCUGAUAAUUUUCUAACAUUUAAGUCUUGCACUUUUACAGUGCCAACUAUAGAUCCUUCCUACCUAAAAGAUACACCUAUCUGGCAAACAAUUUAGGUUAGAACUGCAGCACAGCCUUAACUGGAUGGUUGUUCCUGGACAAGGCUGAAUGGGAGAAAUAAUCAUAGUAAGCAUAUGUGAAGCAUCCUGAUUAACAUCACAGAGUCCUUGGCACCAACCCUGGUCUCAAAAUCCAGACUUUAACGGGAAUUUUGCCCAAGCUGGGACUACAGGAUCCACUUCUUGUAACAGCAAACAGAUGUUCACUUACAUUUUUUGGAGCUGAUUUUGUGCCCCCCCCCUUCCACUCUAUUUCCCUGCUCUCUGUACACUGUAGUGUUCCAUUGGGCUUCUCAAUAUAGUCACUAGCAUUUCAUGCCUUUGGCAUAGAAGAAAACAGCUAAGUUUUGGGAAGUUGCCUUGUUAAGACUUUGUAAAAAAUUAUUUUACAAACACUUUCACAUUGACAGCAGGAAUGGGACAUAGCCUGCAAUCAUAGUAGGUUAUGAAAGAGCAUUAUGGAAUCACCAUGAAAGCUGUCAAAGUCAUAUAUAUAUAUCCCACACUGCUAGCAAUUGGAAAGACACUGUAAAGGUGCAAAAGUGUUAGGAUAGGAAAGUUCUAUUUGUCUUGGUGAACUGGACCAACACUCCAUUUUUCGUGCUGUUGCAAUGCAGUGUGACCAAUCUGAAACAACUGGCUCACAUGUGCAUUAGAAUGUAUGUACAAAUGUUUAACUCGGUUGUGGGGAUUACAGCUUCAAACCCCUUUCUUAACCUUCCACUUUAUUAGAUAACCUUGAACAGACUACUCUUUCUUGGUCUCUCAACCAAGGCAGGACAAAUGACACCUAGAAUUUUGUAGCUCUCAAGAUGGAUGGGGCUUAACUAUCUUAUUGUUCUUCCUAAACUACAGCUUUCUUACCUGAAGUGUAAUUUACUGAUAGUCUCUUAGAAACCACAAAGCUGUUUCUCCUAAAAUGAGGAAUCAUCCCACCUCUCAAGUAUAAAAUCCAGCACUGUAGUCUGAUGGACUGGAAUUUAACUCUUCUUGCACAGCAGUAAUUAACACUGAUAAAUGAGAGGGCACGUCCGUGAAAGACCUUGGCAAGCAAAGCACAUUGCUGUGGUUUGCUAAAUGCUACUCAUGCUGCCUUAAUGGAAUUAUUGCUUUCUAAAACAUGAGUGCUUUUCCUUGUCAGAGGACCACAAUCAUCUUCCAGAGCAAAGGAGUUCCUCCUCCCCUUCUUUUUCUGUGUGGUGUGAACCACUAAAUAUAAACAGAGUAUCAUGUUUAGAACUACUACUACUGUGGUAAGCCACAUGAAUUUUGUGUUUUGUCAUUCUAUCACAUUGGAUAUUCAAGCCAUAUACAGUGGUACCUCGGGUUACAGACGCUUCAGGUUACAUAUGCUUCAGGUUACAGACGCUUCAGGUUACAGACUCUGCUAACCCAGAAAUAGUACCUCGGGUUAAGAACUUUGCUUCAGGAUGAGAACAGAAAUCGUGCAGCGGCGGGGUGGCAGCGGCAGUGGGAGGCCUCAUUAGUUAAAAUGUUACCUCAGGUUAAGAACAGUUUCAGGUUAAGAACGGAUCUCCAGAACGAAUUAAGUUCUUAACCCGAGGUACCACUGUACUUCAUUAUUUGAGGUUUGCUUGAGGAUUACAGAUUAGCUUGUUGCAUUGGGGGAGUCUCCCACAGCAGCUGGGAUGGUUCAUGUAGAGAGGAGGGAAGGAUGAGAGGGAAGGGGCAAGACUGUUCCGGUCACAAUGAAUCUAAGGUCCAUUCCUCAUCUGACUUUUAUUGGAUGAAUACAAUUCAAAACAGCACCUAAGCCCCACUACUUUAUGCCUUGACCAGCCAUGAACUUCACAUUGGCCUGGACAGAAUGCUAGCUCCUAACCUGCUGCACAGUGACUAACCAUUAUUCUUGAAGAUGGUUGAGAAACUGCUGCUGGUACAGUUGGGUGCAGGUGUCUGAUUGUUGAAUGGGGCAGCAAAAUGAGACCAUAUAUUACUCAUUUUAUUCUUAUUAUUCUUGUUCUUUUUUAAAUUAAAUUUCUAUACUUCCCUUGAUCAGAGGAUCACAGCAGCUGGCAGUAGCAGCAGC